rnacentral:lncRNA from 1 species
GUGUUCCAGGACCGUGGGGAUGUGGCACUGAGGGGUGCGGGCAGCGGGCAGCUGCGGGGGUGGACGGUGGCACUUGGUGAUCUUAGAGGUCUUUGCCAACCAGAGAGAUUCUGUCAUUCUGUGAAUGGAGCCAUUUAUUGCAACGAGAGGUAAUCAGCAGCAAACAACCAAAGAGGAACGCCUCGAGAACAUCACGGGAACACGGAAACACUUGACUGGGAUACUGAUGGAGCCACAGGCCCGGCAGCAUUCAGGUGUGGCCAGGAGGCUGGAUGUGUGGCCCAGUGCCUUCAGCAGCACCAACACGCCGGGUUCCUGCGGGGCUGCGUCCGG